CGGCAGGCUUAACACAUGCAAGUCGAGCGGGCGAGGUUGCUUCGGUACCUGAGCUAGCGGCGGACGGGUGAGUAAUGCUUAGGAAUCUGCCUAUUAGUGGGGGACAACAUUCCGAAAGGAAUGCUAAUACCGCAUACGCCCUACGGGGGAAAGCAGGGGAUCUUCGGACCUUGCGCUAAUAGAUGAGCCUAAGUCAGAUUAGCUAGUUGGUGGGGUAAAGGCCUACCAAGGCGACGAUCUGUAGCGGGUCUGAGAGGAUGAUCCGCCACACUGGGACUGAGACACGGCCCAGACUCCUACGGGAGG
rnacentral:rRNA from 1 species